AAACAAGACAAUGCACAAUUUAAUGUCACAUACAUGAUGACCUCACCUUGUACAUCAGGAAUUUUAUUUCUGUAUUAUCGUCAUGUAGACCCAGAUCAAAUUUGUGAGUUAUGUAGGAUAAUUAAAGUUACAGUUAAUUGACAAUUUGAGUGUAUCUAAUAAUUCCUAUUUGACAGACCUGCAUACCAUCAGUAUGUACUAACAGA
rnacentral:lncRNA from 1 species